rnacentral:rRNA from 1 species
AGUGAACGCUGGCGGUAGGCCUAACACAUGCAAGUCGAACGGCAGCACAGUAAGAGCUUGCUCUUACGGGUGGCGAGUGGCGGACGGGUGAGGAAUACAUCGGAAUCUCCUUUUUCGUGGGGGAUAACGUAGGGAAACUUACGCUAAUACCGCAUACUACCUACGGGUGAAAUUAGCGGAUCUUCGGACCUUGCGCGAUUGAAUGAGCCGAUGUCGGAUUAGCUAGUUGGCGGGGUAAAGGCCCAUCAAGGCGACGAUCCGUAGCUGGUCUGAGAGGAUGAACAGCCACACUGGAACUGAGAAACGGUCCAGACUCCUGAACGGGGCAGCAGUGGGGACUAUUGGACAAUGGGCGAAAGCCUGAUCUAGCAAUACCGCGUAGGUGAAGAAGGACUUCGGCUUGUAAAGCCCUUUUGUUGGGAAAGAAGAGAAGCAGGUUAAUACCCGGCUGUUCUGACGGUACCUAAAGAAUAAGCACCGGCUAACUUCGUG